GUCAUUUUACCCUUUGCUGCUCACUCUACACGGCAGCUGCAGGAGAACUUGAUUAGUGCCUUGCCUCUGUGCCGAUGCAUUUCCCUGACAGCAUCGAUCCUGGGCGCUUUCGCUUGGCAGGCAGUUCCACAGAGGAGGAGCUUGGACUGCAAAGGAGGUGGACUGUUGUCUGUUCAAGGAUGACCAGAAGAUGGCCUGUUUUUACCUCACAAUAGACUCCCCUUGAGUGGCUUUCUCUUCCUGGCAAUAAGUAGAACUUUGGCUAAAACAUUAAUACCUCAAUUGAAAGGUCAUUACCAAGAACACCAUAGAUUUUAUUGUACCAAAAGCAAAAAUUUCCAAACGCCCUUUGUAGCUACCAAGAUGAACUCUUUCUAGAUAUGUUUUUCCAACUGUAAAAUGCAGACUGCGACAUAGAAGAUUCAAGAACAAGUUCAA